rnacentral:rRNA from 1 species
UCAAAAAACAUUGUCAUUUGACAUACCUAUAAAUGAUAAGUCCUGCCCAAUGAAACAUUUCAAUGGCCGCGGUACCCUGACCGUGCAAAGGUAGCAUAAUCAUUUGCCUAUUAAUUGUAGGCUAGAAUGAAGGGAUAAACGAAAUCAUAUCUGUCUCUCUUAAGAACCUAAAACCUAAUCUCCAGAUGAAGAAGUCUGGAUAUCAUUGAAGGACAAGAAGACCCUAUAGAGCUUUACCUUUAUUUUUCUCAAUUAAGUAAAAAACGGUUCGGUUGGGGCGACUAAGGAGAAUUACUAACCUCCUAUAAAAAAAUAGACCUACCAGUCAUUAUCAAGAUCCUUAUUUAAGAUCACAGAAACAAGCUACCUUAGGGAUAACAGGCUAAUUUUCUUUGAGAGCCCUUAUUAACAAGAAAGAUUGGCACCUCGAUGUUGGCUUAGGAUCUCUCUAUGGUGUAGCAGCCAUAGAUAGAUGGUUUGUUCAACCAUUAAAUUCCUACGUGAUCUGAGUU